GGAAAACGGAACGGUGCUUCCUGCCU
rnacentral:piRNA from 1 species